rnacentral:rRNA from 1 species
UACGGGGGGGCAAGCGUUGUUCGGAAUUACUGGGCGUAAAGGGCUCGUAGGUGGCCAAGCUAAGUCGGACGUGAAAUCCCCUGGACUUCGAACCGGGGAACUGCGUCUGAUACGUGGAUGGCUUGAGUUCGGGAGAGGGAUGCGGAAUUCCAGGUGUAGCGGUGAAAUGCGUAGAUAUCGGAGGAACACCGGUGGCGAAGGCGGCAAUCCGUGGACCGACGACUGACGCUGAGGAGCGGAAAGCGAUGGGGAGCGAACGGAGGA